rnacentral:rRNA from 1 species
CAGCAGCCGCGGUAAGACAGAGGAUGCAAGCGUUAUCCGGAAUGAUUGGGCGUAAAGCGUCUGUAGGUGGCUUUUCAAGUCCGCCGUCAAAUCCCAGGGCUCAACCCUGGACAGGCGGUGGAAACUACCAAGCUGGAGUACGGUAGGGGCAGAGGGAAUUUCCGGUGGAGCGGUGAAAUGCGUAGAGAUCUGGAGGAAUACCGAUGGCGAAGGCAGCCAUCUGGCCUAACACUGACGCUGAGGUACGAAAGCAUGGGGAGCAAACAGGAUUAGAUACCCCUGUAGUCCCUGUCUCUUAUAC